ACCCCCUCGCGCGGCCGCUCUGUGGCCAUGUCCGCCAUGUUUCCCAGUGACGCGGGGAAGUAACUGAUCUGAAGAAAUGGGAGUUUAAAUCCGGUUAAACUCGACCGAGGAUAGUCGUCAGUGAUUUCGACCCAUGUUGAUGAUACCUAGUCUUGCGAUUGUAGUCGCGUUUCGGCGAACCGUCUUACGCCGAAAACAAUGCAGCGCUCCGAGCCUGGGCGCUAGACGCAGUCAAACCUCUCCCCGCGUACCGGAGCAGAGAGCCCUCGCACCGCAACCACUGCCUCUCCAUCAGCCGAGUCUUUCCGCAGAUGCUGACGGAUGGAAAGAGAACAGGAAUUGGGAAACCAUCUACCGAGAGCUCUGUUGGCCCAGCAGGUCUUCAGGGAGAUGAAGAAAAGGAGUUUCAGAUCCCCAGGCAGCUUAUCCAUAACCAUAGGUAUCCUCUCCUCUCUCCCACAUCUUUCAGCUUUCAGACUGGACAGCAAGCAGCUGGACUCUGACAUGGACUCUGAGGAUGAGGUGUUCCUCAACCAAGUGAAAUGGAAGACAGAGAUGAUGAAAAGGAGGAAGUAGGCCACACGAGAGCUGCUGCACCUGACCCCGGGGGUGGUGGAGAAAAGGGGGAGUCUGCAGUGGUCUGGGAGUGACCACAAGCACGAGAUGUGGAGCCUCGGGGCAGUUUCAGGCGAGUGGCACGGCACUGACGCUGUCGCCCUGCUGUGCUCCUCCACGGAGACGGACGGCUCCUCUCGUCACAGAGGUGCAAUGAGCCCAGGAUUUAUGGUGCAGGCCUGACAGGAGAUUGGACCCUGAAGUAAAAUGGAUGUUUCUGGAAGGAAGCGGAUUUGUGGGGAUUUAUGCUCUACCAGUCAUGCUCAUACCUACUCAGCUGGCCAUGCAUCUAAUAUCUUUCAUUUUUAAUUAAAAUCUCUUUGCCUUCCCCACCACUUAAUAUUUUCAAUACUUAGAAAUGAUUGAAAUAAGACCUUAAUUUUCAUUAAUCAACUUCAGUAUUAUUUAAUGCUGAAUUCUUUUUUUACGUAAAUUAAUUGGAGGAAUUGGCUGUACCUGUAACAUAAAAAAUGAGCAAAUCUUGUUUAGCGCCAUUGAAAAAUUGAAUUUAACAGCUUUUAUUUAAAUGGUUCAUUUAAUUUAGGCAGCCACUCAGUUGCGAUGGUAACGUUAAUUAGGCUGUAGCCUGCAGCCUGUAAGGUCAGGGGUUUUUUAGCCAUAGUGGAUACUCACUGCUCUAUAGAAGAUUAUUUAAAAUGUCAUUAGAUACAUUUUGCAUAUCAAUUUUCACACCUACUGACAGUGAAUGUCAGAAUUGAGCUUUAUUUCAACUUAAGUGGGAAUUUCAGUUAUGUUCUAAUGCUGGAGUGACGUAGGCAGCUUCCUGGGUGACAUACUGAGCCUGUGGCGCCAUCUGGUGUCGGGCUGCAGUACGUCUGAUGUAGGGGAGCAACUGUGUCUGGGCAGUACGGCUAACUUCCUCUCUGACUUCCUGGGGGGACAAGCAGCAUUACAGGGGAGCAGUUCCAGGCACAUCAUUGGCAGGUGGCCCAGAUGAGCCAGCAGAGUUGGCCUACUCAGAAUUGCACGAGGGCAGAGCUACCCAGAAUUCCACGUGAUGUCCAGGUACCUGGCUUCCCACGAGGCUCCCACAUGCAGCUACAGUCCAGCCCAUUUGUUCAGUACUGAGUGUGCUCUGCUCUCUAAGGAAGAUGGAAGUACUCAGGUACACUCAUUGAAGCCAAGCAUGGGCGGACAGAAGACAGAGGAGAUUAUUGUAAAAUGCUCACUCUCCUCAUUAGAGAACAUUUAUAGCUCUUGAUGUAUGAGAAGAGACACCGGCAUCAUUGAAGACUCCUCACAUCAUGGUCACUACCUGUUUGACCUCUUCCCUCAUGGCUGGUAUAAGAAAUCGAUUAAGAUACAAACCACUAGAUUUAAAAAGUUUCUUUCCAAUGGCUAUAUGUGAAUUGAACUCUGUAACCCACUGUAAUCAGUGUCUGUGACAAAGCAGUGUUUCUAAUAUCCCAAAGUGCAAUAUUUACUGUAUGGUUCAGACCUUGUGCUGCUAUAGUUUCAUAUCUGACAUACUCACAUGUCCCUAUCAAGCUGCUGUAUUUGAUUUAAUUUUUGGACUUUUUGUAUGUAUUGCAAGUUGCUGCUGUGAUUGAGUUUGCUCCGAUGAGGAGUAGCACUUUUUACAUAAUCAUUGUAUGAUGUGCAAGGACAAUAAAGAC